rnacentral:lncRNA from 1 species
GAUACGGUGGCGGCGGCGGCUAUGGAGGUGGCAGACGUGAGGGUGGCUACAGCGGUGGUGGCUACGGUGGUAGUUAUGGAGGUGGCCGUGACCGUGGAUAUGGUGGAGGUUAUGGCGGUGGUGAUGGUGGGUCCCGCUACUCAAGAGGUGGUGGUGCGUCCGAGGGAAGCUGGAGGAAUUAAUAAGAUUCUGAAACUGGGUUUGAUUGUGUCAAAUAUAUGUCCUCCUUUAGAUAGUUUUUUUUUUAAAAAAUAAAAAUAAAAAUUUGGUGAUUAUGUUUCUGGGUUGGGUAAGAGUCUAUUUUUGAUACUGUAUUUCGUGUUACUGUUCUGGUUUCUCGCUAUCGGUUCUCGUUAUGUUACUGUGUGGAUCUGUACUUACAAGGUUAAAUGAAAGUUA